AUUCUGACAUAGAAAUGUUGGCCAUGGCAGAUGGCAGAUAGAGAGCUUCCUCCAGAUGGACAGGACCACGUCUGCUACUCCCUGGGGAUAACUGCUCCACCAAGCCCGCUCACAUCACCGAAGCCUGCAUUUGCCCUCUGGUCUUGCUGAAAUGAAACCCGGACACUCAGAGCUUUCCUGCCACCUCCCUGACCAAGCCUACCCAAGAAGAGGCAAGAACCCUGAGUUUUAUGCCAGGUGCAGUGGCUCACACCUGUAAUCCCAGAACCUUAGGAGGCCAAGGUGGAAGGAUUGCUAGAGACCAUGAGUUCAAGGCCAGCCUGGCCAACAUAGCCAGACUCCAUCUUUACAAAUCAUUUACAAAAAAAAAAAAAAACUAGCCAGGCAUUGUGGUGUGUACCUGUAGUCUGUAAUCCCAAUUACGCAUGAGGCUGACGCAGGAGGAUCACCUGAACCCAGGAGUUCGAGGCUGCAGUGAGCUGUGAUCAUGCCACUGCACUCCAGCCUGGGCAACAGAGCAAGACCCUGUCUCUUAAAAAUAAAACAAACAAACAAAAAACCCUG
rnacentral:lncRNA from 1 species